rnacentral:rRNA from 2 species
AUACCGGCAGCUCGAGUGAUGUCCACUAUUAUUGGGCCUAAAGCGUCCGUAGCUGGCCGUACAAGUUCGUCGGGAAAUCCACCUGCACAACAGGUGGGCGUCCGGCGAAAACUGUGCGGCUUGGAACCGGAAGGCUCGGAGGGUACGUCGAGGGUAGGAGUGAAAUCCUGUAAUCCUCGACGGACCACCGAUGGAGAAAGCACUCUGAGAAGACGGAUUCGACAGUGAGGGACGAAAGCUAGUGUCUCGAACCGGAUUAGAUACCCGGGUAGUCCUAGCUGUAAACGAUGCUCGUUAGAUGUGGCACCCACUACGAGUGGGUGCUGUGUCGUAGGGAAGCCGCUAAACGAGCCGCCUGGGAAGUACGUCCGCAAGGAUGAA